AAUGAAACGAGCCAUUCUUAGGAAAAUGGCCUUGAAAACAAAAGGUUUUAUGCUUCCUUGAAGGCAAGAACAACUGCUGAGACUCCCGGGGUUGACCCUUUGCAUUCUGUCUUGGUUACAGUCUUCUCACGCUGCUCUGUGGACCCCUGCUCAUCCAGCACUUUCACAUCCUUGCUCCAGUCCCUGAUGGGUAGAGAACCAACUGCUCAAGAUUAGUUGGAGUUUUGCAAAGUGUCUAUGGGAGAACUGGCUGCUUCCUUCUCCAGCCGUUUCAAGGCCCUGGCAAUCAUUCCAACCAUCCCUGUGAGCAUGUUCAGGCUUCAUCUGGUCUCAUCCAUCCCACCAUUGCCUGCUCCUCGGUCUUGACUUUGUCAGAUGCUGCAGACAACAGCUAGCAGCAGAGUCCCUGCUGUGUGCUGCUGGGGGUGCCUCCAGGGAAGAAACUGUAGACGAGUCGGAAAAAAAUAGCUUGGGGAGCAGAGGUGCCUCCGCAGAAUGCUGACUUGAUGUUCUGUUGAUGAACAGUUUAAGGGGUCAAGAGAAUAAACAGGUGUGGGGGAGGCA
rnacentral:lncRNA from 12 species